GUCCAUGGCCGGACCACCACGGACAGGGGUUUCUUCCCAGAUUGUUGAUGAAUAUACUUGGGGAUUCAUGAUUCUUGCAUCCCUUGAUGUGACGCGAGAUUCGUUGGGAUUUUGGGAGAGGGAGAUGGGGUGCGAUUUGGGGGGAUCAUGCCUCGGAUUCUUGGGGUCGCCGGGGAUGCGGUGAUUGAAGGAGAAGACAGUGGAGGGAGAGAUGGAGGAAGGGAGGAGGAGGGGGAGGCUGCAGCUGUGAGGUUGCGAUGGGAGACGUUGGGGAUGCCCACUGGACGUUGGUGUCCUUCUCAACACAAAUCCAUGGAGUGCCCAACCCGGAUUUCAAAGGGACUUGGCUGGUUCAAUACUGCCAAUUCCUUGGGUGCUAAUUUUGAGUUGUAGAGACUUUGCCACCGAUGACACACUAUAUGUGGACGCCACAUCCUUUCUUCUGCACGCAGCGCACGACAUUCCGGUUCGUUUCUGCGUGCUUCUCAGUAUUGCACAUGAGGUACCCUGAGGGGUGGUGACCCAGAACUUGCUGGCGCGGCGCAAGAGCCGGUUCCUGUGAUCAGGAUGCUGGAGGCUCUUGGGUCACAGCCCACAUG